UACAGAGGGUGCGAACGUUGUUCGGAAUCACUGGGCAUAAAGCGCGCGUAGGCGGCGACACAAGUGUGGAGUGGAAUCCCACGGCCCACCCGUGGAAAUGCUUUGCAAACUGUGUUGCUCGAGGAUGGUAGGGGAGAGCGGAACUCCUGGUGGAGCGGUGAAAUGCGUAGAUAUCAGGAGGAACACCGGUGGCGAAGGCGGCUCUCUGGUCCAUAUCUGACGCUGAGGUGCGAAAGCCAGGGUAGCGAACGGG
rnacentral:misc_RNA from 1 species